rnacentral:rRNA from 1 species
CUAGUGGCGGACGGGUGCGUAACACGUGGGCAACCUGCCCUUUAGACCGGGAUACCAUCGGGAAACUGAUGUUAAUACCGGAUACCUUCUGUAUAUCACCUGAUAUAUAGAAGAAAGGAUUUAUCGCUAAAGGAUGGGCCCGCGCUUCAUUAGCUAGUUGGUAGGGUAAUGGCCUACCAAGGCAACGAUGGAUAGCUGGUCUGAGAGGACGAUCAGCCACACUGGGACUGAGACACGGCCCAGACUCCUACGGGAGGCAGCAGUGGGGGAUAUUGCGCAAUGGGGGCAACCCUGACGCAGCAAUGCCGCGUGAAGGAUGAAGGUCUUCGGAUCGUAAACUUCUGUUAUGAGGGAUGAAUAAAUUGACAGUACCUCAAGAGGAAGCCCCGGCUAACUACGUGCCAGCAGCCGCGGUAAUACGUAGGGGGCGAGCGUUGUCCGGAAUUACUGGGCGUAAAGCGCAUGUAGGUGGUUUGAUAAGUCAGGCGUUAAACUGCGGAGCUCAACUCCGUAUUGCACUUGAAACUGUUAAACUUGAGGACAGGAGAGGAAAGUGGAAU